rnacentral:rRNA from 1 species
CCUACGGGUGGCUGCAGUGGGGAAUUUUGGACAAUGGGGGCAACCCUGAUCCAGCCAUGCCGCGUGAGGGAAGAAGGCCUUCGGGUUGUAAACCGCUUUCGGACGGAAAGAAAUCGCACGGACUAAUACCCUGUGUGGAUGACGGUACCUUAAGAAGAAGCACCGGCUAACUACGUGCCAGCAGCCGCGGUAAUACGUAGGGUGCUAGCGUUAAUCGGAAUUACUCGGCGUAAAUCGUAAGCCGGCGGUUAAAUCCCCGGGCUUAACCUGGGAACUGCGUUUGGAACUGGGAGACUAGAGUGUGUCAGAGGGAGGUGGAAUUCCGCGUGUAGCAGUGAAAUGCGUAGAUAUGCGGAGGAACACCGAUGGCGAAGGCAGCCUCCUGGGAUAACACUGACGCUCAUGCACGAAAGCGUGGGGAGCAAACAGGAUUAGAUACCCGUGUAGUC